AUAUUUGACCGAUAAAACCUAUAUCAAUGCUUUCUAAAUGAAUUUUACGGUGUUAAAAUUAUGUAGCUUUACUUAAAGAAAUUAUGUUUGAUGCAGCAGGCUUAAUUAGCAUCAAUAACAGGAGAUGGUACUAUAAACCAUUGUACCGUCUACCUACUCUGCUACUCAGUUAAGUUUGUCAGAGAUAUACUCUAUCAAGUUAGUAAUAUCCGUAAACUUUAAUCUGAAUUACAUCUUUUUAUUUUUCUCAUAUUGUUCUUGUCUUACAUUUUUGCAGUAAUUCAAAUCUUGAUAAGGAAAAUUUGAUUCCAGACAGCGAUGUUUAAAAACUUGCAGCACAUCAGACUCUUUGGAGUAGCUUCGUCUAUGUUUAUUGUGAUUGCGAUGACCUGGUGUGUAAUCUUACAACUUUUAGUUGCUUUCUUCUUUGUUAUGUUGUUAUUGUGAUUGCGAUGAGCAGAAACUGAUUGGUUCCAUAAAUUAGAAUGGGGAGAUCAAAGUCUGCAGGCAAAAUUCCAUGGCUCAGACAUGCGUUCAACUUCGGUAGAACCAAUUAUAUUGGACAGUUUUGACUUCUUCUCAUUUUGGUUUAUAAAAAAAAUGUACUAUCUGCUUCUGCUUCUGCUUUUCCAAUGGGAGCCAUAUUAAUACUGUUACAGCUGUUUUUUUUAUUUUUAAUUAAAAAAACUGCAGCACGUGCAUAUUCACAUAGUGUAUUGAAUAUGGUAAUUGUAAGCCCACACCAUUAGGUUUCAAGAAGCUUACUAGCUCACUGCUUACACCUCCGGGUGUAGACUACCCAUAUGCAUUGUGUCACAACUCCACCCUUGAAAACAUUGAUUAACAGAUACAGAUCUCAUUAAAUUUUUGUUAAUGAACAGUUAAUUUCUCUGGCGCAAGAUGGACAUGAGAUAACAGAAGGCCUCCUUAACUCUACUG
rnacentral:lncRNA from 1 species